rnacentral:rRNA from 1 species
UACGUAGGGGGCUAGCGUUGUCCGGAUUUACUGGGCGUAAAGCGCGCGUAGGCGGCUUUGCAAGCCGGAUGUGAAAUCCCCGGGCUUAACCUGGGAACUGCAUUCGGGACUGCAUUGCUAGAGUAUGGGAGAGGGAAGUGGAAUUUCAGGUGUAGCGGUGAAAUGCGUAGAUAUCUGAAGGAACAUCAGUGGCGAAAGCGACUUCCUGGACCAAUACUGACGCUCAUGUGCGAAAGCGUGGGGAGCAUACAGG